rnacentral:ncRNA from 5 species
AGUUCUUCACUGGCAAGCUUUA